UGGGGAAUCUUGCACAAUGGGGGAAACCCUGAUGCAGCGACGCCGCGUGAGCGAUGAAGCCCUUCGGGGUGUAAAGCUCUUUCGGCAGGGAAGAUGAUGACGGUACCUGCAGAAGCAGCUGCGGCUAACUACGUGCCAGCAGCCGCGGUAAUACGUAGGCAGCAAGCGUUGUUCGGAGUUACUGGGCGUAAAGGGUGUGUAGGCGGUUGGAUAAGUGUGGUGUGAAAUCUCCCGGCUCAACUGGGAGGGUGCGCUACAAACUGUCUGACUCGAGUGUGGGAUGGGUAAGUGGAAUUCCUGGUGUAGCGGUGAAAUGCGUAGAUAUCAGGAGGAACACCGGUGGUGUAGACGGCUUACUGGACCAUAACUGACGCUGAGACACGAAAGCGUGGGUAGCAAAC
rnacentral:rRNA from 1 species